AGCAUAUCAAUAAGCGGAGGAAAAGAAACUAACAAGGAUUCCCCUAGUAACUGCGAGUGAAGCGGGAAAAGCUCAAAUUUAAAAUCUGGCGGUUAUGCCGUCCGAGUUGUAAUCUGGAGAAGCGUUUUCCGUGUUGGACCGUGUACAAGUCUCUUGGAACAGAGCGUCAUAGAGGGUGAGAAUCCCGUCUUUGACACGGACUACCAAUGCUUUGUGAUACGCUCUCAAAGAGUCGAGUUGUUUGGGAAUGCAGCUCAAAAUGGGUGGUAAAUGCCAUCUAAAGCUAAAUAUUGGCGAGAGACCGAUAGCGAACAAGUACCGUGAGGGAAAGAUGAAAAGCACUUUGGAAAGAGAGUUAAACAGUACGUGAAAUUGUUGAAAGGGAAACGCUUGAAGUCAGUCGCGUUGUCUGGGACUCAGCCUUGCUUCUGCAUGGUGUAUUUCCUGGUUAACGGGCCAACAUCGAUUUUGGUCGGUGGAUAAAGUCGAGAGGAAUGUGGCACCUUCGGGUGUGUUAUAGCCUCUUGUCGGAUGCAUCGACUGGGAUCGAGGAUCGCAGCACGCCUUUUUGGCCGGGGUUCGCCCACGUAACGUGCUUAGGAUGUUGGCAUAAUGGCUUUAAUCGACCCGUCUUGAAACACGGACCAAGGAGUCUAACAUGCCCGCGAGUGUUAGGGUGGAAAACCCUUGCGCGUAAUGAAAGUGAAAGUUGGGACCUCUGUCAUGGGGGGCACCGACGCCCGGCCUUGAACUUCUGUGACGGCGCCGCGGUAGAGCGUGUAUGUUGGGACCCGAAAGAUGGUGAACUAUGCCUGAAUAGGGCGAAGCCAGAGGAAACUCUGGUGGAGGCUCGUAGCGAUUCUGACGUGCAAAUCGAUCGUCAAAUUUGGGUAUAGGGGCGAAAGACUAAUCGAACCAUCUA
rnacentral:rRNA from 1 species